rnacentral:rRNA from 1 species
UACGAAGGGAGCUAGCGUUGUUCGGAAUCACUGGGCGUAAAGCGCACGUAGGCGGAUGUGUUAGUCAGGGGUGAAAUCCCGGAGCUCAACUUCGGAACUGCCCUUGAUACAGCACGUCUUGAGUCCGGAAGAGGUGGGUGGAAUUCCUAGUGUAGAGGUGAAAUUCGUAGAUAUUAGGAAGAACACCGGUGGCGAAGGCGGCCCACUGGUCCGGUACUGACGCUGAGGUGCGAAAGCGUGGGGAGCAAACAGG